rnacentral:rRNA from 1 species
UACGGAGGAUGCAAGCGUUAUCCGGAAUGAUUGGGCGUAAAGCGUCCGCAGGUGGCUAUGUAAGUCUGCUGUUAAAGAGUGAGGCUCGAACCUCAUAAGAGCAGUGGAAACUACAUGGCUAGAGUGCGAUUCGGGGCAGAGGGAAUUCUGGUGUAGCGGUGAAAUGCGUAGAUAUCAGGAAGAACACCGGUGGCGAAGGCGGC